AAUAACCAAAUAUAACACUUGGGCUAAGUGUCAGGUCAAGUUGGUUAUUUUUCUUACAUCUCCGCCACCAGGGGCCCAAGUAUCAUAAACGCCUCCAAAAUAAAGAGCCUUGAACACUAGGAGAAAAGCGCUUACACCUAAUAAGAUUAAGUGAAUUCCCAAAAUAGUGGUCCUUUUAUUUCUAUCUUUCCA
rnacentral:antisense_RNA from 1 species